rnacentral:rRNA from 1 species
AGCGAACGCUGGCGGCAGGCCUAACACAUGCAAGUCGAACGAAGUCUUCGGACUUAGUGGCGGACGGGUGAGUAACACGUGGGAACGUGCCUUUAGGUUCGGAAUAACUCAGGGAAACUUGUGCUAAUACCGAAUGUGCCCUUCGGGGGAAAGAUUUAUCGCCAUUGGAGCGGCCCGCGUCUGAUUAGCUAGUUGGUGAGGUAAAGGCUCACCAAGGCGACGAUCAGUGGCUGGUCUGAGAGGAUGAUCAGCCACAUUGGGACUGAGACACGGCCCAAACUCCUACGGGAGGCAGCAGUGGGGAAUCUUGCGCAAUGGGCGAAAGCCUGACGCAGCCAUGCCGCGUGAAUGAUGAAGGUCUUAGGAUUGUAAAAUUCUUUCACCGGGGACGAUAAUGACGGUACCCGGACAAGAAGCCCCGGCUAACUUCGUGCCAGCCGCCGCAGUAAUAC